GACGAACGCUGGCGGCGUGCUUAACACAUGCAAGUCGAACGGUAAGGCCCUUCGGGGUACACGAGUGGCGAACGGGUGAGUAACACGUGGGUGAUCUGCCCUGCACUUCGGGAUAAGCCUGGGAAACUGGGUCUAAUACCGGAUAGGACUCCUGGCUUCAUGGUUGGGGGUGGAAAGCUUUUGCGGUGUGGGAUGGGCCCGCGGCCUAUCAGCUUGUUGGUGGGGUAAUGGCCUACCAAGGCGACGACGGGUAGCCGGCCUGAGAGUGUGACCGGUCACAAUGGGACUGAGAUACGGCCCAGAGUCGUACGGGAGGCAGCAGUGGGGAUGAUUGCGCAAUGGGCGCAAGGCUGAUGCAGCGACGCCGCGUGAGGGAUGACGGCCUUCGGGUUGUAAACCUCUUUCAGCUAUGACGAAGCGCAAGUGACGGUAGUAGCAGAAGAAGGACCGGCCAACUACGUGCCAGCCGCCGCCGUAA
rnacentral:rRNA from 1 species